rnacentral:lncRNA from 1 species
AUGGGGGGCACCCACAGUCCCUUUAAACCGCCUCCCCGCCCCCCCCCCCCGGUGUCUGCCAACCUUUUCCGAACCCCCGUGUCACAGAACUUCCUCAUCAUGGAAACUUCCACUCGGUUCGGCGCUAAGGAUGCCAAACUCCAUUUCACAAGGAGCCUGUCAACAGCUGGGCUUGGGGGUUUGAGGAACAGAGCGGCUGCGAUUGGAGGGGGCCCCCAGACACCCUGCUCCGCCACUGCCCACGCUGGGGCUCCCCGACUGCCGCCGCGCGGUGCCGGAGCACGAGGGGCACCUCCUCCCGGACCCGGGGUGCAGAAGCCCCGCGGAGGCAGCUUCUUGCGAGCAUCCCACGGAAGAGGGCGAGGAGCCACCACUCUGGCUAGCCACAACUGUCCAGAAAUUCGGGAACUGCUGCCUGCGCCUGGACGCACGGUGUUUCAGGGAAGUUCCUGGGCUCUGCUCCAAUGCUGCCCCGGGAUGUUUUGGUUGCUUUGGAGGAAAGCUGUGGAGUCUGCACCGUUUGUUCCAAAUAGGCGGCCCCCUGGUGGCUAACUGUGGGUGAAAAAUCAGGCCACUGAGGAAAAAGCUUGGCUUUGACAGGCCACUACAGUUGACAGCCGGGUCUGCGCAGGGGCUAUUGAGACAUGCGAACGACUUUGUAAUGGGGGGGAGGGGAGGGGUGGAGUGGGCGGGGCAUGAUGCGAGUCUUCCUUCACAAAGGUGAAUAAUAGGCCCUGAAGCCUAAUGGGACUUUGAAUUUUUUUUCCUCUUCCUGAGUGUAACUUGGAGCUAGAUUCCAUCUUAAGAAGGAAAACAUCACACGGAGAAUGAAGUAUAACAAACACUGUUGCUCCCCUUUGUUCAAAUGGCUUUGCUUUUCUGAUCUCAUUUUGCCUGGAAACUUUUGAAAUAAAAAGUAAAUUACAACAUUAAAUAAAUAACA